rnacentral:rRNA from 2 species
CUUAGAGACAGGUGCUGCACGGCUGUCGUCAGCUCGUGUCGUGAGAUGUUGGGUUAAGUCCCGCAACGAGCGCAACCCACGUAUUUAGUUGCUAACGGUUCGGCCGAGCACUCUAAAUAGACUGCCUUCGUAAGGAGGAGGAAGGUGUGGACGACGUCAAGUCAUCAUGGCCCUUAUGCCCAGGGCGACACACGUGCUACAAUGGCAUAUACAAUGAGACGCAAUACCGCGAGGUGGAGCAAAUCUAUAAAAUAUGUCCCAGUUCGGAUUGUUCUCUGCAACUCGAGAGCAUGAAGCCGGAAUCGCUAGUAAUCGUAGAUCAGCCAUGCUACGGUGAAUACGUUCCCGGGUCUUGUACUCACCGCCCGUCACACCAUGGGAGUUGAUUUCACUCGAAGCCGGAAUACUAAACUAGUUACCGUCCACAGUGGAAUCAGCGACUGGGGUGAAGUCGUAACAAGGUAACCGUAGGAGAACCUGCGGUUGGA